ensembl:lincRNA
AUGGAGCCCGAGGCAGGGUUAAGGGAACCGUGUGAGGCCGGCCCAGCAAGGCGGGAAGCCACUGCCACUCCACGGCCAGAGGGCGCUGUCACUGGAGAGGGCCUCGGGUACAAGCUGCGGGGUCUGAGAGCCAGUUCUACGUGGGCCAGGGCGGGGCCAGGAGUGUCCAUGAAGAUUUCCCAGAAGGCCCCGGACUGUGGCGGAGUUCGGGGCACAGCACCCAACUCGCAGGCCGGAGGAGGCCCUGGGCUCCCAGCACUGCAGACAGCAGCAGCGACAAAACACACAACACAGACCUCUCGCGGGCCACAAACGCACCUGGGUCAGGCAAAAUUUACCUGGAGGAUCCCAGCAGUUUGGAUAUCAUGUGCUGGGCAUGAGGAAGGUGAAAGGUGGGCUCGGAGGGACCUUUGGAAACAAGAGUGCAUUUUGGUUGGAUUUGUCCUAGGGAGCAGCUGCUGCCUGCAGCCCGCACCCCCCAACACACACACACCAAGACUCCAAAGACUGACACGUUAGGAAUGCAAGCGGCACUGGAAGUGUUUUGCUAGAAGCGCUGAAGAGGAUACCGUGAGCUCCAAAGGAGCAAAGCCACCUCGGGAGGCUUAUCGGAUCUCAGCUCUGCCUGCAGUGGGAGGGGGUUUAAAGAGGCUUGGUGCCGUUUUAUCUCUACUAUUGAAGUUUUUGGUUUUUGUCUCUUCCUAAAUGAGUCAUUUAUUUAAAAAAAAAAAAAAAAAAAAAAGGAACCUGACUCGGGGAGGGAGUGGGGAAACCACUGCGGGUAGGGGCAGGCCGUGCUGGUGAUCACACUGCAGGCGUGCGGAACUGGGCCUGUCUUCGUGGGGGUGGGGGCAAGGCACGGGGGACAGGCCCUGCUGCGUGGGCAGGACUGGCAUUGCUGUUAUUCACUAGAAGGGAUUUUGCGGGGGGACUGAGUAUCAAACUUGGAUCCUUGCGCUUAUGAGGCAGGCAGCAGAACCGAGGAGCUAAAUACCCAGCCCUAUUGAUGUUAUUUAUUUAGCUUUGUGGCACUGAGGACUGAACCCAAGGCUUUUGGACUGAGCUGCAUCCCCAGUCCUUUUGACUUUUUUACUUUGAGACAGGACCUCACAAAGUCACCCUGGCUGAGAAUGAACUUGCAGUCCUCCUGCUUCAGCCUCCCAGAGGGCUGGGAUUCUAAGCCUGCACCCCCACGCCUGGCUUGAUAUUGUUUAUUCAUUACCAAGUACUUACUGGCGUCCAUCCACCAAGUUUUUGUCCACAGGUGCUGGAGAGAUGGUGGCCCCAGGAAAAGACUUCUAGGUUCCCCUCGAGCUGGGACAUUGAUCCACGUCCCCAGAUUCCUGCUCUCAGAAAUCAGUCAACUGAAGUUAGACAGUUCUGCCUUGGGGUGAACCUCACAAGUGGUGUUAGUGCUGGGUGAGGCAUCAGAGGGGAAGGCUGUGGCAGGCUGAGGUUGCCCCAUGGUGUGCAGAGAGACUGGGCCACCACAAAGAGAGGCAGGACCUCUGUGCGUCACUUCCUCUUUCUGUCUGAGGCCUCCUGGCUGAAAAGGGACCCCAUGCACCCCAUCACCCUGGCCCCUGUGCUGUGUAGAAUGCCCUGUCCUUGGUGCCCAAGAGAGAGUGGGACAGGUCACACGUAGUCGCUUCGGAGAAUGAAGCAGUGCAUGCAGGGUGGCCCAUGUUGUCCCACUCUGAGGCCAGAGUGUGACCUGCUGCAAUGGUGUUUUCCAAGUUUGUCACCGACUUCCUGUUGGGCAGGGUCUGAGGUCCAGGUGUCCCCUUAGGUUGAGGCUUCCCUCACACCAGCCUUGGCAUGACCUCUCUGUUCCCUUGCUGACUCUUUUGGUGUUCUUAGGUUUUUUUGAGGUAGAGUCUCACUAUGUUGCCCAGGCCAGCUUCAAACUCGUGAUCCUCCUGCCUCAGCCUCUUCCUGACAUUGGCCUCGCUUCCUUGCAAAUGUUGGUCUUGCUCCUCUGACUCAUGGAAAAUGCUCUGUCCUUUCUGGACCUGUCUCGCUUAGUGAGGCCAAGAGAGCCGGAAGUCUGAAGGCUGGAAGGAGGGAGGGAAAGGACGUGAAGUGGCCCCUUAUGUAGCGCCGUGGUGGAUCUUUUUAUUCACUUCGUUUUAUUUGGGCCUUGCACCAACCUUUGCAGAGCCAGACCCAGAGAGAGCAGCACCAGGCUGAACAGCUGCUGGGGGGCAAGGUGGGGGUUUGAUCCCGGGCCUGACUCCCAUUUCUUGUUACCUCAGUCACAAGGAGCUCUCAGCAAGCAGCACUGCCUUUUUUCCCAGGCCCUUUGUCACUCAAGGCCACCCUUUUCUCUGCUCCCUGACUCCCAUCUCUCCCGCUCAUCCUCCCCUGUGGCCCUGGAACCCCAGAUGGGUUGGGUGGUGGUGCAAGGUGAUCAAAUCUGAUUUCCCGGAAGUGAGGCCGUUUCUUUCUCACUUCCGGCACCCAGUCCUGGCUCAGGGUGACAAUGAGCCCUCCACUCAGCCAGGGCUUUCCCAUGAUGAGCUCUCCCCUGGAGGAAGAAGUCAGGCCAUCUGUCUGUCCUUGAUCACAUGUGAAAGGGGGCUGAGCAGGAACACUAAGACCCUGAAUCUGCAGAUUCGGGAUAAGGGAACACCCAGUCCAGCUGUCCUCCUCCUCAGCAUAGCUCUUAGCAGCACAACUCAUGAUAGCUAAAUCUAGAUGUCCAUCAGCAGAUGAAUGGAUAAAGCAAAGGUGGUGUUUACACGCAGUGGAGUAUUACUCUGCCACAAAGAAGGAUAAACUUAAAUCAUUGUAGGAAAGUGGAUGCACCUCAAAGCCACCAUGUUAAGUGAAAUAAAUUAGAC